GUGGGUAUAGCUCAGUGGUGGAUCACAUGCUUAGCAUGCAUGAGGUCCUGGGUUCAAUCCCCAGUAGCUCCG
rnacentral:tRNA from 1 species